rnacentral:lncRNA from 1 species
AUGGGACAGUCUCAAACUCCAUGUUCCCCCAGACCCAGGGCCCAUCCUGGCACCCAGCCCACAGUGGGCCCUGAGGAAGCAUGGACCUCCGGGGUAGCCAGAAUCCAUUCCUUCCCAUGUCAAGCCCUGUGCUGGGCCCACCCAGCCUCUUCUGUCCUGGGGAAAUCACCCCAGGGCUGGGGACCUGGCCCCAGGGCCCUCAUGGGAUGUUGUCACCAGGACCAAAAGCUGGGAGACCCAGAGCCAGAGAAUUAGGCUGAGAAUUGGGAGACAGAGCCUUCUUGGGACAGGUGACCUGUGAGUUGGGCCUUGCCAGAUGAGCAGCAGAGGAGGGGCCUUGUACCAGCUGCCGUAUUCCCCAUAGGGGGCGCUGUCCCGGCGCUUAUCCUGGAGGAAAGAAUGGUCACAAGAAAGAUGAGCAGAACAGACCCUUGCACCUCAGGCCACAGCCCAAGACAUGUGCUAGGCCUGAAUGAUGGGCCAGGCUCCGAGGGACUCAGGAGCAGAUGACUGACCAUCCGGGGCCAGAGGUGGUUUCCCAGAGUGGGAGACACUGGGGCAGGCCCUCAAGGACUGCCAGGUUGUUUAGUGUCGCAGCCACCUGGAGGUGGGAGAACGGAAGCUUCUUGACUCAGGCCCUGCAGGACUCUGGGACCUGCAGGGGAUGGGGCACAGCCCCCACCUCCCACCCAACCCUCACUCACGGCUGGGUGGUCCUUGCCCAGUGUUUUCUCCCGGAUGGCCAGAGCAUCAUUGAGCAGGCCUCCUUGCUGGGCAACAGUGACCAUGGUAGGAGCUCACGUUAGGGGAGGCGUCUUCAUCCAACUUGCGGAUCUGGCUCAUGAACA